ensembl:snRNA U6 U6 spliceosomal RNA
GUGCUUACUUCAGCAGUACAUAUACUAAAAUUGGAAAGAAACAGGGAUUAGCAUGGCCCCCUCACAAGAAUGACAGGCAAAUUCGUAAAGCAUUCCAUAUUUUA